rnacentral:rRNA from 1 species
UACCAGACUUGAGAGCAGUAGAGGGAGUGGAAUCCCGUGUAGUGGUGAAAUGCGUAGAUAUCGGGAGGAACACCAGUGGCGAAAGCGGCCUCCUGGACUGUUCUGACACUCAGACGCGAAAGCUAGGGUAGCAAACGGGAUUAGAGACCCCGGUAGUCCUAGCUGUAAACGAUGUGAACUUGGCGUCGGCGGGUUCAAAGCCGUCGGUGCCGAAGCUAACGCGAUAAGUUCACCGCCUGGGGACUACGGCCGCAAGGUUAAAACUCAAAGGAAUUGACGGGUCCCCGCACAAGCAGCGGAGCGUGUGGUUUAAUUCGAUGUUACACGAAGAACCUUACCCAGGUUUGACACGUUGGUGGUAGGGAAGCGAAAGCAGACCGACCCGCAAGGGAGCCUUCACAGGUGUUGCAUGGCUGUCGUCAGCUCGUGUCGUGAGAUGUUCGGUUAAGUCCGCCAACGAGCGCAACCCUCGCCGUAUGUUACAUGUGUCGUACGGGACCGCCGGUAUCAAGCCGGAGGAAGGUGGGGAUGAAGUCAAGUCAGCAUGGCCUUUAUACCUGGGGCUACACACACGCUACAAUGGCCGGUACAAUGGGUUGCUAAGCCGCGAGGUAGAGCCAAUCCCCAAAGCCGGUCUCAGUUCAGAUCACAGGCUGGAACCCGCCUGUGUGAAGAUGGAGUUGCUAGUAAACGCGCGUCAGCCAUAGUGCGUUGAAUACGUUCCCGGGGAUUGUACACACCGCCCGU